AAAAGAAGAAGAGUUCCCACAAAGGGCCAAACCCGAAAGGCAAGGCCUCAAAACCUGGAGGAUGUUUCUUGUGCGGAGGACCGCACAUGGUGAGGGAGUGCCCACAAAAAUAGGCACUCAAUGCUUUGACGGCUUCCAUCCACCCUCCCCGAUCGGAUAAGGGCAAAGCUGUUGCUCUUAGUUCGAGCAGUUCUGAAUCUAGCAGCGACGACGAGGAGUCGCAAGGACCCCGAAUGGGAGCAAUGCAUUUGUUGAACGCCAUGCGGGGUCAAGUGGGGGAGAACAGGAAGACAAAGCUACAAAAA
rnacentral:lncRNA from 1 species